UGAAUAUUUUGUUUAAAAUGACCCACUCGGUUUUAUCCCGAAUAAAAUAAUUUUAAUGGACAAAUGUAAAUUUUAUGCCGUCAAAACAUGCUGCUGCAAACGGCACCAUGAAUUCCGAUAUUGCCUUACUCAGCGACGUUCUCUCUCCACUACAUCGCAACCGGUAGUGUUAAAUAUUUUGGAGUAGCGUUAGUACGUGAUGUUACUUAUUUAUAUUUUAUACUUAUACAGACCACAGCCAACAAUAAAAAGAGAGCUGAUACUGGGGACAGAUGGGUCACUGUCAUAGGCUCAACUAGAGAGGUAAUAGAGGUUUUUAAUCUUUUUUUUAAACUUUAAAUCUUUUUUAACCUCAAGACUGACGUUUCCCUCAUUAUGUCGAAUAUUAAUGUUAGUUUAAAAAAAACUACCUCUUUAAAGUAUCACCCAAAGUACAUUUCCUUUUAGAAAAGUUGCUACACUUGAUAAACAGAGUAUGUUUUCCGGUAAAAAAAGUAUUCACAUAAAAAAAAAAAAUAAACAUUGUAAAACCAAUAUAUUCCUCGUUCCACUCAGAAUCUAAAAAGAACGAGGAAGUGGAACGAAUUACUUUUUAAAAGGAACGCUGCCAAAUACAGCGUUAAUAAACCACAUAAAUUCAAUCACAAUUAGGACUGAAUUCACUUUUUAUAGAAAAUUAUUCGGAAUGUAAUUUACCUACCGAUUUUGUUCUUUUAAAACAUUUAGACACUGACAGAG